rnacentral:rRNA from 1 species
GGGUGAGUAACACGUGGGUGAUCUGCCUUGCACUUCGGGAUAAGCCUGGGAAACUGGGUCUAAUACCGGAUAGGACCAUGCUUUAGUGUGUGUGGUGGAAAGUUUUCGGUGCAAGAUGAGCCCGCGGCCUAUCAGCUUGUUGGUGGGGUAAUGGCCUACCAAGGCGACGACGGGUAGCCGGCCUGAGAGGGUGUACGGCCACAUUGGGACUGAGACACGGCCCAG